GACCUGAGAUGUAUGGUAUCUGAUGGAUAAUAAGCAAAGAGAGAGGGCAAGCUUGGAGGAUGUCCACAUUGUUUCCUGGGAAGACAUUCAUGUUCAUUCGAGAAGACCUUGAUGUUACUCACAACUUGAAGAUUAUUUGCUUUUGACUGACUAACUCAACUGACUCUUACAAAAUACUUUAGAUCUAUAACCUUAUUUGGUGAGUUGAGGUACUCUUUCCCGAUCUCCUCAGCCAUGGCGUUAGAAGACUUCUGCAGCUUCAGGAACAACCCACACCUUUGGACUCCUGCAUCUCUCCUUCCGCCUCUACAAAACCCAGCCUCCUCCACCCCAGGCAUCCCCAAACACAACCACUCUGGACGGAGAAGAUCGGAGUUGAGUAACAAGGACGACGGACCGCCGCUCCACCUCAGCCUCCCUCCCGCCUCCGCCGCCCGCUGCCUGAUGCCCACGGUCCGGCGGCCCUUCCCCCUGACCCACGGCACCACCACCCUGGGCUUUGUCUUCCAGGGCGGGGUGAUCGCGGCGGCCGACACCCGGGCCAGCGCCGGGGGUCUCGUGGCGUGCCCCGAGGUCCACAAGAUCAUCCCCGUCCACUCCCACCUGGUGGUCACGUCGUCCGGCAGCGGCGCCGACUGCGUGCUGUGGGCGCGGGCGCUGGAACGCGAGAUCCGGCUGUACCGGCUACGCCACGGCCGCGUUCUGUCGGUGCGUGGCACCGCCAAGCUGCUGGCGUUCAUGCUGCAUCCGUUCAAAGGGACGGAUGUGUGUGUGGCCCUCACCCUGUGUGGGUGGGACCAGGGACCAAAUGGAGGUCCCCGUGAUGGAGUGGACCAGGGCUCGGCGGGGUCAUCCGGGGAUGCAACCGCAACGGAAGCACUGAUUCGGAUAGAAGGGACGUCUCCGGCUCCGGGUCACGUGACCCAGAGUCCUGUCUCUGAACAGUCUGGCCUCUCCUCCUCUUCCUCCUCCUCCUCCUCCUCCUCCUCCUCCUCCUCCCCCUACUCCAUCUCCUCCACCUCCUCCACAGCUAGAGAAGGCCCAAAGGUGAUCUACGUGUGCAGCGAUGGCGCCCGCCUGCAAGGGGAGCUGUUCUCCGUGGGGUCAGGCUCCCCGUACGCCUACGGGAUCCUGGAUGGAGGCCUGAGGUGGACCCUGAGCCGAGAGGAGGCCUUCUCAUUGGCCAGGGAGGCCGUCUUCCGAGCCACUCACAGGGACGCGUACUCUGGGAAUAACGUGGACCUCGUUUACAUCACGGAAAAGGGUUGGAGUCGCAGAGACAGAGAGGACCUGAAAGAGGAAUAUUACACACGAAAGGAGGAGAUAGGGAAGAUAGUGGAGGAAAGAUGUAGAAAGACUGACUGAGUUUUUAUUUUAUGAACCCUGUUGUUAUUUGGUAGUUAUUAAUAAAUUGUGUGUUGUUAAUGUGUUGCAGCAAGCUUUUCUUUUUGGUAUUUAUUUUUAUAUAUGUCUUUAUUUAUUUUCGUAGGGGAAUAUAUAUCAGCACUAAACCAUAUAUUUAUAGACUGUAUAGAAUGCAUUAAACACUAUUUUAAUUGUGCUGUUCAUAAAGUAUCGCAAAUAGGGGGCGCUGUCAUAUUUUGUCUGCACCACCAAACCAUAUAUUGUAAACCAAAGAAGUCCAUUGAACGAUUAUUAGUUUCAAAGAUGGCGCUCGCUAGUGUGUUGGGCAGUGAUUAUGCGGAUUUUUCAUUUGAUACUGACAAAUCCUAUGCUUUCGGCAGCGGACUCGCCGCCGAGCCUACAUCGAUAGAUAACCUCAGCUUCGCCAUUAAAGGGGCGCUUGGCUCUGCGGAGCAGGACGACGUGGAGAAGAAGAUAGAGUUUCUCCACGGCACCACCACCUUAGCGUUCAAAUUCGACCAUGGCGUCAUCGUCGCCGUGGACUCCAGGGCCACCGCGGGCGCCUACAUCGCCUCCCAGACGGUCAAGAAGGUGAUCGAGAUAAACCCCUACUUGCUGGGCACCAUGGCCGGAGGAGCGGCCGACUGCAGCUUCUGGGAGCGCCUGCUGGCCCGACAGUGUCGCGUCUAUGAGCUCCGCAACAAGGAGCGCAUCUCCGUGGCGGCUGCGUCCAAGCUGCUGGCCAACAUGGUGUACCAGUACAAGGGCAUGGGGCUCAGCAUGGGCACCAUGGUGUGCGGCUGGGACAAGAGAGGACCA